rnacentral:rRNA from 1 species
AUUGAACGCUGGCGGCAGGCUUAACACAUGCAAGUCGAGCGGGGGAAGGUAGCUUGCUACUGGACCUAGCGGCGGACGGGUGAGUAAUGCUUAGGAAUCUGCCUAUUAGUGGGGGACAACAUCUCGAAAGGGAUGCUAAUACCGCAUACGUCCUACGGGAGAAAGCAGGGGAUCUUCGGACCUUGCGCUAAUAGAUGAGCCUAAGUCGGAUUAGCUAGUUGGUGGGGUAAAGGCCUACCAAGGCGACGAUCUGUAGCGGCUCUGAGAGGAUGAGCCGCGACACGGGGAUUGAGACACCGCCCAGAUUCCUACGGGAGGCAUCAGUGGGGAAUAUUGGACAAUGGGGGGAAACCUGAUCCAGCCAUGCCGCGUGUGUGAAGAAGGCCUUAUGGUUGUAAAGCACUUUAAGCGAGGAGGAAGCUACUCUAGUUAAUACCUAGGGAUAGUGGACGUUACUCGCAGAAUAAGCACCGGCUAACUCUGCGCCAGCCGCCGCAGUAA